GACCCAGCACACAGAUAUUCCACAGAGGACAAUCAGUAGAAGUAAUUUAAUGCGUGCACGACUCAACAGGAGGGGGAUAGCCAAGGCUGAGCCCGGGGUUUCGGGGAAGGGGGCGCGAGCUCCACAGGGGAAUCCCGUUGACCCUAGUGGGGACGCCGGUGCGUCGCAAGGCGCAUGGCAGGCUGGGCGGGACGGCCGGGAGGAGCGCUCUCUCACCACUCUCACCUGUGGCUAAUCGGCAAUCUGGCACCAGUUAAAGCCUGCUGUCUCCUGGGCCUCCGUGUCGGAUCGUUGUCUCCUGUCGACGCAACACACCAGGACACGCCAGCACGUUUGUUCCCUGCACGGCCUUCCACCGUACCUGCCCGCAGACCACCCCCGAGCCUCUCCUCAGGAGAAAUAAAUCCUUUCUUUUUGACCUCAAAACUGUGUCUCCGGUUUACUUUUGGAUCCAGUCCUCAUUAACCCUAAUAGAUUGAAAGACAGCCUCUCCUUUGUCAAAAACAAGGGAACCGACACCACUAGCUUCUGUAGAUGGGGGUUCUAUCUGAUGGUGGUUGCCCCUGCAGUGGUCCUGC